rnacentral:tRNA from 1 species
GUGAGCGUAGCUCAAUGGUAGAGCAUCGGCUUGUGGCGCCGGUGGUUGCGGGUUCGAUUCCCGUCGCUCACCCCA